rnacentral:lncRNA from 1 species
UUCCUUCUUUUGCUCCUAGCCUUUCCUUUCUCCACCUUUCUUAUCUCCUUGUCUUCCUUAAUUCUAUUCCUAAGCCCUUAUCCAAAAAUCAGACUUGUCUUUGCUAUUUUGGACUUGUCCUAAUAAGGGAAGGAAGAGACUAAUUGAACAAUAUGGGAGACUUAUGUAAGAAAGAAGAGAAAAUUUCUCAGAUGGUUUAGAACCUUGGAGCGACCCC